rnacentral:lncRNA from 1 species
AUGACAGCGAAACGAAUUCCAAACCUAAUCUGGACUCGCCACGGAGACGUCCCCGGCCCCCAACACUAUGUAGCCAAAAACAAGGUUCCGCGUGAAGCCAAGCGAAAGUCGACCUCCGUAAUGCAGUGGGAUGGGAUCAGGGCCGAGUUCGGAAGAUGCGGGGAGAGGAUGGAGAAACCUCUACCUGUCUGCUCUGGUCUCCCUUUCUCUUUCUUCCCAAAGCAGGUUUGGCGGAGAAGGCAGCUGGUGCGCCCCCGGUCGCUGCCUGGCUACGCGCGGGCGCGGGAGUUUGGACCAAGACAAAGACGGGAGCUGUCCGCGGUGCUGAACCUGCCGCGCCGCCGCGAGGGCAAAUGGGCUCCUGUAACUUGCAAGAUAUCCAUGCUUCCCCAGAAAGAGUAAAAUACGGGGUCAAAGGUGUUAACGCCUCAUCCUGCCAUCAUGAACAAAGUACCAUGCCCAGAUGGUCUUACAGGUGAGUUCUACAAAUAUUAAGAAGCAGAAGCUUCUUGUAUUACAUAAGUUGUUCCAGAAAAAAAGAAAGAAAAAGGAAAGCUACCCAAUUGACAUUUUGAUAGCAAGUCUGGAUAAGAGCACCAGAAAAUAGUCACUAGUAAUCUGAGAAAUGCUAAAACCUAAAUGGGAGGAAGUGUAUUUCUAUCUGCUUGAUAAAACCCAGAAAGUUGAGAACAUUAACAGCCAGUGAGCACGUGGGAAAAUGAAAGCCCUGAUGCAUGUUGGGGGUGGGGGCUGCAGUUUGAGGAGUAGUAUGCCAGCAUUUUAUGACAUGUAAUGUUUGCAUACAUCAUACUGCAGAAAUCCAAUUCCUGAGUAUUAACGCCAGAGCACCAGCCACACAGAUAUAUAAAAAUACCUAUGUUAGGCUGUUCAUCUCAACGUUGUUAGUGUAGG